rnacentral:ribozyme from 13 species
CUUUUUUUUUUUUUUUCUUUUGAUUCUUUUUAUAUGCAGAUAUUAGAUUACAAAUAUUAGUCGCACCCAUUAAUAAAUAAAAAAGGUAAUAGCAUGAUGAUUCAUCUCUCUCUUGUCAUCCACAAGACAUGAAAGGUAACAACCAAAAAGGGACAUCGCAUGUGUGUGACAUGUAACCUUGAUCUUCUUUCUCUUUCUCUUUAUACACAUU